ACACAUGCAAGUCGAGGGGUAACAUAAGUGCUUGCACUUGAUGACGACCGGCGGACGGGUGCGUAACGCGUAUACAAUCUACCUAUUACUAAGAGAUAGCCCAGAGAAAUUUGGAUUAAUAUUUUAUGGUAUUACGAUUUGGCAUCAAGUUGUAAUUAAAGGUAACGGUAAUAGAUGAGUAUGCGUCCUAUUAGCUAGAUGGUAAGGUAACGGCUUACCAUGGCAACGAUAGGUAGGGGUCCUGAGAGGGAGAUCCCCCACACUGGUACUGAGACACGGACCAGACUCCUACGGGAGGCAGCAGUGAGGAAUAUUGGACAAUGGGAGCAAUCCUGAUCCAGCCAUGCCGCGUGCAGGAAGACUGCCCUAUGGGUUGUAAACUGCUUUUAUACAGGAAGAAAAAGGUGUACGUGUACACUGUUGACGGUACUGUAAGAAUAAGGAUCGGCUAACUCCGUGCCAGCAGCCGCGGUAAUACGGAGGAUCCAAGCGUUAUCCGGAAUCAUUGGGUUUAAAGGGUCCGUAGGCGGGAUGAUAAGUCAGUGGUGAAAGUCUGCAGCUUAACUGUAGAAUUGCCAUUGAUACUGUUGUUCUUGAGUUAUUGUGAAGUGGUUAGAAUGAGUAGUGUAGCGGUGAAAUGCAUAGAUAUUACUCAGAAUACCGAUUGCGAAGGCAGAUCACUAACAAUGAACUGACGCUGAUGGACGAAAGCGUAGGUAGCGAACAGGAUUAGAUACCCUGGUAGUCUACGCCGUAAACGAUGGUUACUAGCUGUUCGGGUUAAUUGAGACCUGAGUGGCUAAGCGAAAGUGAUAAGUAACCCACCUGGGGAGUAUGGUCGCAAGGC
rnacentral:rRNA from 1 species